GGUUCUUGUGCUUGCACAUUGGUCUCUUCACGCACAAACAUCGAACCCUUGUGGCAUCUGUGUUUGUGUGAGAAGAGGCCAAUGUCCAAGCGGAAAAACC